AAGUCGUAACAAGGUUUCCGUAGGUGAACCUGCGGAAGGAUCAUUGGCAAAGCCUUUAAGGUCUGGCCUUUUACAAAGCCGGGGCUUAAAACUACGAUGUCUGGGACGGCUUAAAACCCCGCCUCAGCGUUGUACCAGCCAUUGUGAAUUGUGGGAGCCUCAAUAAUUUUUUCAGGCUUAAACUUUUUUGUUUUGGCCGAAAAAAAAUGCGGGCUUCCAUUUUUUGUUUGAUUCAGGCUUAAUCAAGAGUCUCUUGAUGCCUGAAGAACAAGCCUGGAACUUGAGAAUUGUAUUUGAAAAACAAAAAUUACCAGUGCUUUUUUUGUUAAGCCUGGAAAUUACAUAAUUGUAAAGCCUAUACAACUUUUAACAGUGGAUCUCUUGGCUCCU
rnacentral:misc_RNA from 1 species